AUCUUGGGAAAUAAUGGACUACAGUUCCUCAAACACUUAAUAUUUCUGCUUCCCCACAGGAUACAAAUACACAAGUGCCCCUGUGACAGGAGAAGGCUUGUGCCAGCUGUCUGAACAGCGUUUGCAUCCUAACCCAUCACUGUUCCUUUCUCAGCAGGGUCCAUGGGGAAGAGAAAGGUACAGCUGUCAAGGGUGAAACAUUUGGGCAGAAAGGAGUUGAAGGGAAGGAUGAAAGUGUAAUCAAGUGAAGCCUAAUGAAAAGGUGUUCCUGGAGGGUAAACAGAACAAUUGCUUUAGCGUUCCUCUUUCUUUGCAACACAGGGCAGUAUACGGAUUGCGUAUUUCAAUGAGUUUAUUAUCUACGGAGAUAACAAAACCCAAAGUAGCUGAAAGCAAACUGCAAACUACUCAACCUCUUUAUAAAAGGAAAACUCACAAAACAGGAGUGAAUCAUGAUGGCACAAGUGAUACGAGGACUGUGAACAGCAGCUCUUGGGCCGGGAAAGGCCAGGAACCUGCCCUGAGCACCGUACCUGGGGCUUCUGCAGUGGUGCCUGAUGCAGAAGCUCACACGGAGCAACCAGCAAGUGGUGCACUGCAAAAGGUAAAGCUUUCUUGGCCUGUGGCGUGAGCAGCUGGCAGGGAGCGAUGGGGUAAGAGGAAUACGUGUCCCAGUGAUGGGUCGAGGCCAAGCACUAAAGGCAUGUCCCGGCUGCUCGUGAUUCCAGAGCUGGGCGUGAUGGGAGCCAGCCAUCACUUCUGCUCAGCGCUCCUCAGAGUGGCAACAGGUUACAAAAGCCAGAAAGUCACGUCCUCCUCCUCUCCCUAAUGUCACAACGGCACCAGCAGAGCGAACGUAGAGGUGCUUUGAAGAAGCAGGAGCCGUGGAUUGCAGGUGAUGCUAUCAAGUGAAGACAGCUGGCUUGGGUGUAACGCGGAGCCUGCGUAACCGCUGACGUUUUGGAGUACUGUCAGCCUCUGUCAUCCCCUAUCACCUGGAAAAGCUCCUCGUGCAAUUCGGCUGUAGCUUGUGCCAAGCACUUCAUAGUCAUUACCAAAACGAUGAUCUGUUGGCUUUGGUUUCCUCAUGUAAUGAAAUGCAAGGAAAAUACUGGGGAGGAAACUUUUGUACAGCACAGUGGGGUCACCCGUGGUUGUGCUAUCAGUCAGCUGCAGAUCUGGGACCAGUCCUUGGGUCUAGAAGGUCCAACCAAGGCAGCUCAGUCCCUUUCCUAGCUUGAAAGGGCUGCUUUCAACCCGUUUCCAUCUGGAAAAAAAAUGCUGUUUGUAUACUAGUGUGCUUCUUGGGAUGGUGGCAGCCUUGCAGGGCUGAGGACAAUGCCCCGUGACUGCAAAGUUUGGGUGUGUCAUUUACUGGCACAUUGUUUUCCUGUUAAGGGGUUUGCUGUGUGAUCCAUGCAUUUCUGCCUGAAUAUAGCCCGGGACACAGAGUAUAAGCAUUUCUACCCACAAACAUCUUCAGUCUCCGCUUAGAAACGGGAACUAUUUAAAAACAGGCUGUGAAUACAGAUUCAGUGAUGUUGUUGUAAUUACUGUACUAGACGAGAUGGCUCAUUUUAGGAUGGGGAAAGUAGUAGUUACUAAUAGAGCAUCUCGUAAAAGAGAUUUUA
rnacentral:lncRNA from 1 species